rfam:Dipodomys ordii contig_16034, whole genome shotgun sequence.
GGGAAUGUGGCUUAGUGGUAGAGUGCUUGCCUAGCAUGCAUGAAGUCCUGGGUUCAAUUCCUCAGUACCA